GACGAACGCUGGCGGCGUGCUUAACACAUGCAAGUCGAACGAGAAUCUGCGGAACGAGGAUUCGUCCAAGUGAAGCAGAGGACAGUGGCGGACGGGUGAGUAACGCGUGAGGAAAUCUGCCCUAGAGAGGGGGACAACAGAAGGAAACUUCUGCUAAUACCCCAUAUGAGCUUGGUUGAAAUACCAAUCUUGAAAACUCCGGUGCUCUAGGAUGAGCCUGCACCUGAUUAGCUUGUUGGUGGUGUAAUGGACUACCAAGGCGACGAUCAGUAGCUGGUUUGAGAGGAUGAUCAGCCACAAUGGGACUGAGACACGGCCCAUACUCCUACGGGAGGCAGCAGUAGGGAAUUUUGCGCAAUGGGCGAAAGCCUGACGCAGCAACGCCGCGUGUGUGAUGACGCCCUUCGGGGUGUAAAACACUGUCAGUAGGGACGAAUUUUGACGGUACCUACAGAGGAAGCACCGGCUAACUCCGUGCCAG
rnacentral:rRNA from 1 species